CCUACGGGAGGCAGCAGUGGGGAAUUUUGGACAAUGGGCGCAAGCCUGAUCCAGCCAUUCCGCGUGAGUGAAGAAGGCCUUCGGGUUGUAAAGCUCUUUCGGCAGGGAAGAAACGGCUACGGUUAAUACCCGUGGCUAAUGACGGUACCUGAAGAAGAAGCACCGGCUAACUACGUGCCAGCAGCCGCGGUAAUACGUAGGGUGCGAGCGUUAAUCGGAAUUACUGGGCGUAAAGCGUGCGCAGGCGGUUUUGUAAGACAGAUGUGAAAUCCCCGGGCUUAACCCGGGAACUGCGUUUGUGACUGCAAGACUAGAGUACGGCAGAGGGGGGUGGAAUUCCACGUGUAGCAGUGAAAUGCGUAGAGAUGUGGAGGAACACCGAUGGCGAAGGCAGCCCCCUGGGUCGAUACUGACGCUCAUGCACGAAAGCGUGGGGAGCAAACAGGAUUAGAUACCCUGGUAGUCCACGCCCUAAACGAUGCCAACUAGGUGUUGGGGAAGGAGACUUCCUUAGUACCGUAGCUAACGCGUGAAGUUGGCCGCCUGGGGAGGUACGGUCGCGAGAUAAACUACAANAGAGUAGAGCGUGAGAGUGCGACGACGACGACGAGGGAGAGG
rnacentral:rRNA from 1 species